rnacentral:rRNA from 1 species
GGCGGCCGUAACUAUAACGGUCCUAAGGUAGCGAAAUUCCUUGUCGGGUAAGUUCCGACCUGCACGAAUGGCGUAAUGAUGGCCACGCUGUCUCCACCCGAGACUCAGUGAAAUUGAAAUCGCUGUGAAGAUGCAGUGUACCCGCGGCUAGACGGAAAGACCCCGUGAACCUUUACUACAGCUUGGCACUGAACAUUGACCCUACAUGUGUAGGAUAGGUGGGAGGCUUUGAAGCACGUAC